rnacentral:rRNA from 1 species
UACGUAGGGUGCAAGCGUUGUCCGGAAUUAUUGGGCGUAAAGAGCUCGUAGGCGGUCUGUCGCGUCGGCUGUGAAAACCCGGAGCUCAACUCCGGGCCUGCAGUCGAUACGGGCAGACUGGAGUUCGGUAGGGGAGACUGGAAUUCCUGGUGUAGCGGUGAAAUGCGCAGAUAUCAGGAGGAACACCGGUGGCGAAGGCGGGUCUCUGGGCCGAUACUGACGUGAGGAGCGAAAGCGUGGGGAGCAAACAGG